AAAAUUAGAGUGUUCAAAGCAGGCAGAUCCAAUUUUCUGCCACCGAAUACAUUAGCAUGGGAUAAUGGAAUAGGACCCUGUCCUCCUAUUUUCAGUUGGUUUUGGCAGCGCGAGGACUAGGGUAAUGAUUAAUAGGGAUAGUUGGGGGCAUUAAUAUUUAAUUGUCAGAGGUGAAAUUCUUGGAUUUAUGAAAGAUUAACUUCUGCGAAAGCAUCUGCCAAGGAUGUUUUCAUUAAUCAAGAACGAAAGUUAGGGGAUCGAAGACGAUCAGAUACCGUCGUAGUCUUAACCAUAAACGAUGCCGACCAGCGAUUAGGAGACGUUGAAUACAAAACACCACCAUCGGCGCGGUCGUCCUUGGCGUCGGUCUUUCGGGGCCGGCGCGGGGGCGGCUUAGCCCGGUGGCACCGGUGAA
rnacentral:rRNA from 2 species